GUAGAAACUUUCUAACAUGUUGCUGCUUCUAGAUAUUGUCUAGACAAUGGAACGUGUCAUCUUGUUCAACAAAAUCGCCCGAGGAAGUGUUUCGUACAUACUUACUUUGUCAGCUAGAAUUGUUCCGUUUCUUUGUGGUUGCAGGUGCUAGCUCUUCUAUUGUUUACAUGAGAAAGGAAUGACCAUUGUUGAUCGUACGUGGGCGAUCAACCUAUGAUUUACCUGUCCAUAUUUUCGCAUAGCGACCGAAAUCGCUCUACAUGUACAAGAGCUCACGUGCCUGCUUGCGUCUGGUUGUUUUGCAUUAUGAGUUCAGCGUAUUCGAAACGUACACGCGACAAGACAUCGCCUACUGGUAGCACUCCCUAGAGUGAUCUAAAAAAAUCACGUGAAUCCGUGGUAGAGGAGAAAGACCAGAGAGAAGGCAUACAAGUGCAGCGUCGAUUUGCAGGGAAGGCCUUGUUUCGAGAAUGGACGAAAGGUGAAGAAAAGCUUCUCGUUAUGUACGUGUCUUUACACUGUUUGGAGCUGGAUUCAGCAUGGCCCAAAUUUCUCUAUGACAAUUCGAAUGGUGACUCUAACCGAACAGCAUCGUCUUGUCGUUUUCGUGUUAUUGGCCAUCUUGCUAAGAGAUUUGCUACUGUCACUGAUGCAGAGAUCCAUUAUGGUAUUGACCUUGAGGGUGUAGAUGCAGAAGACCAAUCUGUGCUAGCCGUUGCCUCUCCAAUCCUGAAAUCAAAGAGACCCACAGCUGGCAAGACAAAGACAAAUGUUCACAGUAAUGUAGAAUCCCAGCCAUCCACAACAACAACAACUGCCGGUACCCAGACUGAAUGUUUUCAAUCACAGGUAGCUGAUUUUCUGAAGUCUCAACCAUUGAGGUUCCAGGUUUGAAGCAGCUCAAAGCCAAGUGGAAGGUGUUGACGAUGCCUUUAUUGAACUUUCAUUAAAAGCAAUGAAAAAUUUAAAGGAGGAUGGCCGGAGCAACAUUAUAUAUGGCUUGAUACGUUGUUGCUCCCUUCCUGACACUUCUGGCCAUCCCACCAGACUGCCUCUCAACAGAAUGCCAACAAGAUACAUUGCAUCAGAUAAUUUUUUUCAAUGCCAGUCAUUACAGCAAUGUUCCUAAAUGCCCCCGUGAUGAUGAGGACUGGUUGGGCACCAUGUAUGCUGAAUUUGGUACGAAAUGGCACUGUUUGCACAAUGGCCCUGCCUGGCAGCAUGAUGAACACUCUGGAUUGAAAAGCACCAUGAUCCCGGGAAAUGCUAAGAUAAACAAUGCUUCUUUGUCAUUGUCUACACUGAGAACUCGUGUAGUCAAUACUGGAAUUUUCGAAACUACAGAAAUUCAGGUGAGCUAGCUAUAUAAGCUGGCUUUCUUCUUGUACAAGUGGAGAGUAAUUGUCUUGUUCAAACA